rnacentral:sRNA from 1 species
AGUAGCGGCGGCUCAGCUGCUGCCAUGGAGCCAGCCGGGCUAGAGCGGCUCCUACGGGAGCUGCUGCUACCGGACACCGAGCGCAUCCGUCGGGUACGGAGCAGGCGUAACCCGGCCAGGGCGAGCGGGAGGUUGCGGGAAAGGCCCGACUCUCACCCCUAGCUUCCCCCCAGGCCACGGAACAGCUCCAGAUCGUUCUUCGGGCCCCCGCCGCUUUGCCGGCUCUCUGCGACCUGCUAGCCUCGGCGGCCGACCCCCAGGUGAGACCCCUGACUCUCCCCUCCGAGCUUCCCACUGUACGCCACCGGUCAGGCCCCAAUAUUCGCCCACUGCGGUCCGCUCAGCACCUUCCUGCCCGGACCCCCACGUGCUUGCUUCCUCGUCCUAGAUCCGCCAGUUUGCGGCCGUGCUGACCCGCAGACGACUGAACACCCGCUGGCGACGGCUGGCGGCGGAGCAACGGGAGAGGUGGGCUGGGCCUGGGGUGGGGCGGGGCCAGGCGGAGACUUUUCUUGGGCAGGCUGGGUACCAAACACCUGCCACCUGUGUUCCAGCCUCAAGUCCCUGAUCCUGACGGCCCUGCAGAGAGAAACAGAGUAAGUACCUACCCCCUUCUCUCGGGAUCUUGACGACUUUGUCUAGGUUUCUGCCUU